rnacentral:rRNA from 1 species
UACGUAGGGUGCAAGCGUUGUCCGGAUUUACUGGGCGUAAAGAGCGCGUAGGCGGUCGUAUAAGUCGAAUGUGAAAGCCCCCGGCUCAACUGGGGAGGGUCAUUCGAUACUGUUCGACUCGAAGGCAGGAGAGGGAAGUGGAAUUCCGGGUGUAGUGGUGAAAUGCGUAGAUAUCCGGAGGAACACCAGUGGCGAAGGCGGAUCUCUGGGCCAUUACUGACGCUGAGGAGCGAAAGCGUGGGGAGCGAACAGG